GCCGCCGUUAGCUGGACAGUAAACAUCAGUUAGCCGUUAGCUCCCACAGCUAACUACACUUCCGUGUGGAAACGUCUUUAAGGCGCGUGCGACCGUGGGAGACAAUGGACUCGCCCCCCCCCUUCUCCUCGCUGCGCCUCCUCCUCCCCCCUCUCCGCCUGCUGACGGCCGCCAUGUGGCAGGUCGCCCGGCAGCAGAGCGUGGAGCAUUAUGGGAUGCUGGAGGACUUUGUUUCCCUGGUAACGGAGGCUGUCCCGGAGCUGCUGACGGAGCAGCAGAGGACGGUGCUGCUGCUGGCGCUGAGAGCCAAGGUCAGCCUCCACUAAAGGUUCUGUUGUUGCCGCUGACAACCACAGAUUAUUAUUCUAAGUGCCUGACAACAUUAUGGGAUGGAUCCCUACAGAGAUAGACCUCUUAGUUA